rnacentral:rRNA from 1 species
AUUGAACGCUGGCGGAAUGCUUUACACAUGCAAGUCGAACGGUAGAGGGGGCAACCCCUCGAGAGUGGCGAACGGGUGAGUAAUAUAUCGGAACGUGCCCAGUCGUGGGGGAUAACGUAGCGAAAGUUACGCUAAUACCGCAUACGAUCUAUGGAUGAAAGCGGGGGAUCGCAAGACCUCGCGCGAUUGGAGCGGCCGAUAUCAGAUUAGGUAGUUGGUGGGGUAAAGGCUCACCAAGCCAACGAUCUGUAGCUGGUCUGAGAGGACGACCAGCCACACUGGAACUGAGACACGGUCCAGACUCCUACGGGAGGCAGCAGUGCGGAAUUUUGGGCAAUGGACGCAAGUCUGAUCCAGCCAUUCCGCGUGCAGGAUGAAGGCCCUCGGGUUGUAAACUGCUUUUGUACGGAACGAAAAGGUCUCUCUUAAUACGGGGGGCUCAUGACGGUACCGUAAGAAUAAGCACCGGCUAACUACGUGCCAGCCGCCGCCGUAA